AGAUGUGCUCGUAGAGUAACGAGCAGGGUAAACAAAAGAAAUAGCUCAUUAAGA
rnacentral:sRNA from 12 species